rnacentral:tRNA from 1 species
CAGAGGGUGGUCUAAUUUAUGAUCUCAGCUUUGGGAGUUGAGGAUGGAAGUUAAAGUCUUUUCUCUCUGAUUUUUU